CCCUUAGAUGUUCUGGGCCGCACGCGCGCUACAAUGAUGCAUUCAACGAGUUUAUAACCUUGGUUGAAAAGCCUGGGUAAUCUUUUGAACUUUCGUCGUGAUGGGGCUAGACCCUUGCAAUUAUUGGCCUCCAACGAGGAAUUCCUAGUAAACGCAAGUCAUCAGCUUGCAUUGAUUACGUCCCUGCCCUUUGUACACAUUGCCCGUCGCACCUACCGAUUGAAUGGUCCGGUGAAAUCUUCGGAUUGAGACUUUGUUUUCUUCACGGAAAACGCUGCUUUAAAAAGUUGAUUAAACCUUACCAUUUAGAGGAAGGUGAAGUCGUAACA
rnacentral:rRNA from 1 species